GCUCGGACUGGCCCACCGAGCAGCAGCCGCCCUUCGCUCCUUCCUCGCGGACACCAUGCUCCAGUUUCUGGUGAGUGGAGCUGCCCCGCAGGGGCCCGGGGUGGCUUCGGGGCCCUCGAGGGCUCCGGGGCCGGGCUGCGGGGCUGUAGGGGUGUGCGCGUGGGUCCGCGUCCCCGCAGCGCCCGCUCGUCCCNUCCCCUGUCGGGAUGGGCUGCGGGUUUUUGUUUCUGCCGGGCGCCCAUCCCUUUGCCGUACUUGUUCUGCAGUCAUUCAAGUCACGCCAGAACUUGGAGGCGUCAGCAGGCAUUUUCAGAGCCACUUCUGGGCCGUCCCGGCGGAUUGUGUAAUCGUGGUGUUAAAGCUUCUGGGGUCCUUAAUGACUUCGCGGCCUCCCCUCUUCUGCCCCCCCGCCCCCCGCACCCCAAUCCCUGCCGGAGAGCCCUGCUGGUUGGGUUUUUGAGAACGGAAGAGGGCGGGGAGGGCCAGGAAUAAACUCUAAAUUAGUAAACCACCCCACGAGGCGCAGAAACACAAGGUCGGAGUUAGAGGCUUGGGGGCUGGGGGGGAGGGGACCUUGUCAGGCCUUUUAGAGCUUCCAGACUUGGAGGAUGGCUGGUUGCUGGCCUGAGUCAGACCCCGGUGUGCAAGCAACUCUUCCAAAGUGCUCAUUUUGGGGGGGAAAUGAGUGUUACUAUGAGCAAAUAAAUUCUACCUCCUGGCUCUUUAUUUCGGUGGAAAACUGGUUUUCUGGCGACGCUGAGUGUAUUUCAAAGAUUGCCCGGUGAAGGUUUCAGGACGUCUCGCCAAACAUUUCCAAGUGAAAGUCUCUCUUCCAAGUUUUUGAGCCACACUUGAUGCUUUCAACCUCUGAUUCUGACAAGAAGCAGGUGUUCCAUUGUCUUCCUGGUGGACACGUUCGGUGCCCUGGUGAGAAGAUGCUUUCCCACAUGCUGUAUUCUUUAUUAAAAGGAAUAAAAAAGUGCCUUGUUUGGGUUUUCUUUCUUUCUUUCUUUCUUUCUUUCUUUCUUUCUUUCUUUCUUUCUUUCUUUCUUUCUUUCUUUCUUUCAUGGUAAUUGGUUUUUAAAAUCUCUAGGUGGAAAAGAGGUAUCCUUGAUAUAAACUGCCCAACUAGGACAGGGCUGUACCCUUUGCCUCUGGAAGUUUCUCCAGUGUCCUAACUAGGUGUUAGUUUAGGGGGCAAUAGAAAUAAUUACUGUCAUUUAGUUGUAGGAAACACAAAGGUUAAAAACAGUAUCAGUGGCGCCUGGGUGGCCCAGUCGGGUAAGCAUCCAAUUUCCCGUUCAUGUCAUGAUCUCACGGUUCACAAGUUCGAGCCCCGAAUCGGGCUCUGGUGCUGACAGGUCAGAGCCUGGAGCCUGCUUCAGAUUCUGUGUCUCCCUCUCUCUCUGCCCCUCCCCUGAUCAUGCUCUGUCUCUCUCUUUCAAAAAUAAAUAAACAUUUAAAACAAAAACAAAAACAGUAUCAGCCCCAAAAUGUAAGAUGAUAGCAUUGAGACUUCUACAGCUGUAGCUUACUGAUUCCAUUAUACUUCAUAAGUGCUUUUGCAGAGUGAAUUUAUUUGGUUUUGGAAUAGACUUUUGCUGUGUAUAAAUAUGCAUGUAUCUGAUUUGAGGAUUCAGAAUUCUCAGCAUUCAAGGAGAGAUGCUGCAUCCGUCCGUUAAAUUCCUAGCUCGGAAGUAACUGGAACGCGGAUGCUCUCUUGCCCCCUUGUUCUCCCAUCUCCUCAUCGCAUCUUUUGAAAGACGUGGAUAGUAUUACUUUUCACCUUGAUUUUACCUCUGUCGAAUGAUUCACUAAGUCUCUGAACUUGGGCAAGUCUUUCUCUUGCUUUUAGCCAUUUUAUUUAUAAAAUGGGUUGAGGGGUGCCUGGGUGGCUCAGUCAGUCGAGUGUUGGUCUCUUAAUCUCAGCUCAGGUCUUGAUCUCAGGGUUAUGUGUUCAAGCCCCGCAUUGGGCUCCACACUGGAUGUGAAGCCUACUUAAAAUGACAACAACAACAACAACAACAACAGUGGGUUGAAGCAGGUGAUCCCUAAGUUGUCCUCGAGCUUUUAACCUGUGACCAGCCAUCUUGUCCUGGUGCUUAAGCAGUCAGACGCCUGGUCUCGAACCCUACCUAGCUCCAUCGUUUUUAAGCUAUGGGAACUUGGGUAUGUUAUUUAAAUUGUCUGUGCUUCAGUUUCCCCAUAUGAAAAUGGGAACCUACCUCAUGGCUUUGUUGUGAGGAUUAAAAAUGAGUUAACACAUGAAGGUGUCUUAACCGACACUUAAUAAGGACUCAGAUUUAUUCAGUUUCUCGCUGGAACCGGUCCUAAAAAUGGGGACUCGUUUACCCUCAGAAAGGUAGGUGAUGGGAAGAGUUUUGGAAGUAAUGAAAUGGAUACAAAGUUAAACCUGUGCAUGGUCAUUGCACAUUCUGGAACCCUCCAAGACGUUUCCUACAGUUGUCACUUCCUGGAACACCAGUUGAAAACCACUGCACCCGAUUGUGUUGCUUUUAUAUUCCUUUCGUUGUCCAUUCCUCCGUGGAUUAAAACACUCGCCGAUCAUCCAUACUCAAAACUUGUUCCCGUGGUCCUGCUGCCUCUUUUCCCUUUAACGCAGUAGCUUCCUUGAGUGCAGUAGGUUCAGCCACAGUUGUUGUAAGGAAACUUCUGAGGCUUUUGAGGGAGGCCUGAUGUGAUGGGCACCGCCGGGAGCCCUGCGUGCCCUGCCUGCGGUGCUCUUCCCGGGGUCAUGGAUUGCCCUUGUUACCUUCGAAGUGGCAGCCCUUGGUGCUCUUAAUCACCUCCUCCUCAAUCCCCCAUCUCUUGGCUUUUGGAUCCUUCCUUGUCCGACAUUCUUUAACACUAGAACACACGCGGCUUUAUUUUUGGGGAAGAGCCUGCACAGAGUGAAGGCGACUGACUCUGGUGCUGGCCCCUCCCAGGGCUGAGGGGAACAGUAUCUUGGGGCAGCAGCUGGGAAAUGGUCCUAUCUAAUCUCGCCUGCUGGCACUGGCUGCUUUUCCCGUCUUUUGGUUUCUAGGUGUUUCUCAAGGCUCAGUCCCUGACUCUGCUCUUCUCUUCACACCCACCCUCAGGGAGUGUGUUCCUUGUUAUACAUCACCUUUCCUUUUUGCUGCUUCUCGGACUACCUUGCGUCCCUUUCUCUGAGCUCCAGUUCACUGUCAUCAACUGUCUGCUCAGCAUCUCUUGCCCUACCCUCUAUCUCAGGUCCAACACAUCUGGACCCGUUGCCUCUUCCAUCCCCCACCCUGCGACCCAUGCCCCACACCUGACUUCUUUCUCUUCUCCAGCCCUUUCUCAAAUUUGAAACGCUGACAUAAUCUUUGAUUUGUUUCUCUCCUUCAUUCUCCAUAUCCUUAUCAGCUAUGCCUAGCACAUAAAUGUCCCUGUGUAGCCUUGGGUGAGUUCCUUAACUGCUCUGUGCCUCAGUUUCCCCAGAAUAAACUGGGCAGUAAUAGUACCUGCUUUAUAAGUCUGUGAGGAGCAUGAGCUAAUUCAUGAAAAAGAGAAUGCUGCCUUGCACACAAUAAGCACUCAGUAAACAUUAGCUAUUGUUUUAGGCCAUUGGGUCUUCAUUACUCACCUUACAAAAGUUCCAUCUUUAUGUUCCCCAGUGACAAGUUCGUAGAGUAGGUCUUUUUUACUCUGCCUUUGCACUAGUUACACCAGCCUAGUUGGUGUAGGAAUGUAGGUUUUGAGUUGGAAGAGUGAUUGUAGGUUAUGUGGUUUAACAUGCUGACACUUGGUCUCCACUACUAACGGGGUGUCUGGUGUAUGUUUUGUCACCUCCCGUUAAAAUAGGCUCACUAUGCAGCACCUGGGUGGCUCAGUUGGUUAAGCGUUCUAUCUCCCCUUCUCUCUGCCCCUUACCUGCUUGUGCUCUAUCUCAAAAUAAAUAAAUAAACUUAAAAAAUUAAUGAAUAGAAUAGGCUCACUACUUCCUCAGAGGAUCUGUCAUUUUUGGUCACCAUCUUACACUAUUCUUGGUGUUAAAGAGCAGUUCUAACUCACAUGACAACACUUCACAUAUCAGAACAGCAUUACCUUGGUACCUUUCUCUAUCCCCUGACCCCCAUCAGUCUUGUCUUUAGACUAAACAUCUCUGAUUCUUCCAUCCAUUUUGUAUGAUUUCAGGUUCAUGCUGGUUAGCCUUCCCUGAAUAGUCUAGUUUGGGGUUGGUUGGUUGGUUGGUUUGUUUUGAAACUUGGCCCCUCCAUCCAGUCUGAUCAGCCUUAGAAAAGUAAGGCUGCCUCCUCUACUUCUACGUUUCCUUUGAUGCCCUUGGUGUUCUGUCCGCCCUUGCAGCUGCCUGAGUAAUCCUCCAGUCUUGUCUUCUCCACGUGCUCAGAAACUGUCAAUGGUCUUUAUGUCCCUCCAUAUCAAAGAGUAACCACUUGCACUUGAUUUUCAAGAUUUGCUAAUCUGACCCCAUUUUCCCUUCCUAUUGCCCUUCAACAUAUCUCCUUUGCUUUUGAUUGAAUAGACUAUCUUACUGAUGUGGACCAACCUAUGGACCUUCCUGCUAUCAGACCUUCCCAUACGGUUUUCCCUUUGUCCUCUUUUUUGCCUCCCCCUUCCCCAACAACUCUUAAUGGCUCAAUUCCCAUCUUUUUCCAUGAGCUUUCUUUAUUACCUUAAGCUCCUGAAAUGUUGACACUGUUAGGAUCCAUCUCCCCAUUGAUUUACAUCUUUGUAUGUCUUUCAUCAGUGUUUUAUUAUCUUCUCAAUAAUAGUCUUGUACCUUGUUUUUUAUAUGUGUAUUUCCAGGUACUUUUCAGUUGUUCUGAGUGGCAUCCUUUUUAAAAUUACAUUUCCAAAUUCAUUGCUGAUGUAUAGAAAUGCUAAUUUGGGUGUAUUGAUUUUUUUAAAUGUUUAUUUAUUUAUUGAGAGAGAGAGAGAGAGAGAGAGAGAGAGAGAAUCCCAAACAGGCUCCACGCUGUCAGCGCAGAGCUUGACGUAGGGCUCGAUCCUGUGAACCGUGAGAUCAUGACCUGAGCCGAGAUCAGGAGUCUGACGCCUUACCAGCUAAGCCACCCAGGUGCCCCUGGUGUAUUGAUUUUUGUAUCUAGCAGUCUUCCUUAUCUUUUAACUCCCAUAGUUUGUACAUUCACUUGGAAGUGAAUCAGUGAAUGCCAUACUGUGAAGGCAGUCUUACCUCCAUUGAAGGCAACAAGGACAAUUUUGUGCUCUUUUCCAAUUUUUUUCCGUAAAUCAAGUUAGGACUUCCAGUAGUAGUAAGAGUGGAUAUCCUAGUUUUUUUUUUCUGCUUUUAGUGAAAAUGCUUCUGAGGUUUUAGUAUGAUGUGUUUCUGAUAUUUCCUUACAGAUUAACGAAAUUCUCUUCUAUUUCUAGUUUAAGAGUUUUUAUUAUGAUUGUCUAUUGAAUUUUGUCAUGCUGUUUACCCAUAUGGUGAUCAAGUGAUUUUUCUCUUUUAAUGUGUUCAUACAGAUGACAUUAGAUUUCUAAUAGGAAGCACUUAAACUAUGUGGCCCAUUCAGACCAUCAUUUGGUGAUGCGCUCUGUUUUGUUCACUGCACCUUCAUGCGUUUUAGUCUUGUCUUUCUAGAGUAGACCAUCAGUUCCAGGGGAAGAAGCAGCACACCUUAUAUUUAGAUUUCCCAAGCACAUGGCACUUAGGCAAUACCAUUUUAUUUCAUUUAUUUAAUUAGAUAUUCCUCUUCUGCCUGAUGACUUCUCUCAGAUAUUCAUAAGGUACUUGAAUAUUUGAAUCAGCUUCUUUGAGAACAGGAAGACUGGUUCUACCUGAUAGACCUCUUUCCAGAAUGUUACAGCUAACUUUUUCAUGAAUGUCCCAAUUUAAUUUACUGGCUCAAUUGAAGAAUUAACAGCCGCCCCCCACCCCCGUGACCCCCCGCCCCGCCCCUUCUUUCUCUAAGGAAAAUUAUUGAGUAUAAAAUCUAGGUUACAUCUUAAAAAAUGCACUUCUCUGUGGUUGUAGUAGAAAAGCCAUAGGUUAUAUCCUCAGCAGAGUUUUGUUUUAAUGAAUAUAGAAUGUGGGUUUUAUUAUUACUUGAAGCAGUUUUGAAACACAGUUGAUAAUUUCUCCACAACAAGUCUUAAAUGUUUAAAGACUAAGGUACAUAAAGGUGGAUUUUUUUCUUGCCUCCUUGAAAUGGAGCAGUCUUCAGACAGGUUCUCUAGGUGUGUAGAUUAAACUGAGAAAUUGGGGCACCUGGGUGGCUCAGUCGGUUGGACGUCUGGCUUCGGCUCAGGUCAUGAUCUCCUGGUUCGUGAAUUCGAGCCCGCAUAGCGCUCUGUACUGACAGCUCAGAGCCUGGAGCCCGCUUUGGAUCCUCUGUCCCCCCCUCUUUCUCUGCUCCUUCACUGCUCAUGUGUACUCUCUCUCUCAAAAAUAAGUAAAAAAAACAUUAAAAAAAUGUGUAAAAAAUAAUAUAAACUGAGAAAAUUAUCAGCAUAUCUUUUAUUAAUGCUAGAUAAUGUAUACUUUUGCUUUUAUUGUCAGUGUGUAGCUUUUAUCAUCUGAGACCAUAAAAUAUUUUUGGGUAUCCUUUUGAAUGCUAGUUGUAGCUAUAUUUGCUAAAUAAAAUGAGAUUAUUUCUAUUAUUAUUUAUUUUUAAUGAGAUUACUUUUAGGUUUCUGAAACCCUUGUCAGUAAAUACGAGAUGGUUCAGAUUCUGUGUCAUAACUUGGGUUUGAAAAUGUGAUUUGAUGAGUCCUCCUUCAGACUUGUUGGGUAGUGUUCAGUCUGGGUUACUGCCAGAUGCCAUUCUCAGGUCAAAACUGUAGCUUUAUGUGCUGACAGACAUAACUUUCUGAUCGGGGAAGGGGUUGAGCAGCAAAUGAUAAGAGUCAGAUUGCUUUGGAGUUUGCUUACUUGUUUUUAAGACUUCGUGCUUCUUGAUGUUGAUGCACCCUUGUGACUAACCUGCUUAUGUGUCCUUACAUAAAAAAAGAGUUGAUUUGCUGUGGUGUUCAUAUACAGAGCCACCAGGUGAUGGCAGUGGUCCUCAUUUUUUUUCACUGUAACGUUUCCAUUCUUUUUAAACAUUUGUCCAGUCCGGAAACCUUGAAGUUGUCUUUGAUUUCCUGUUUUAUCCCAUGUGGCUGAUAUUUUACCACAUCUUAUUGACGUUUAAUAUAUUUUUUAAAAUAUUUAUUUAUUUUUGGGAGAGCGCAAGCCGGGGAGGGGCAGAGAGAGGGGGAACAGAGGAUCCAAAGUGGGCUCUGCCCUGACAGGCUGACAGGCUGACGAGCCUGAUGUGGGGCUUGAACUCACGAACCGGGAGAUCAUGACCUGAGCCCAGGUCAGACACUCAUUCGACUGAGCCACCUAGGCACCCCGAAUUCAGUGGUUUGUUUUGGUUUGGUUUGGUUUUUGUUGUUUUGGUUUUUUGUUUUUUUGUAUGUUCAUAGAGUUGUGCUGCCAUCGCGGCUAUCUAAUUUUGUAUCUAGUAUUUCAUUGUACCAAAAAGAAACUGCAUACUCAUUAGCAUUCAUUUCUCAUUCUUCUCUUCCACAGCCCUGGACAACCACUAGUUUAUUUUGUGUUUUUAUGGAUUUGCCUAUUCUGGACAUUUCCUUUAAGUGGAGUCAUAUAAUAAGUGGUCUUUUCCGACUGCCUUUCACUCAGUAUAAUGAUAUCAAGGUUCAUCCAUGUUGCAGUGUGAAUCAGUCCUUCAUUCCUUUUUGUGGCUGAAUAAUACUAUAUUGUAUGGAUAUACCACAUUUUGUUAAUCCUUUUACCCGUUUAUAGCACUUCGGUUGUUUGUAACUUGGCUAUUAUGAGUAUUCCUGCUGUGAACAUUUGUCUGCUGGUUUUUGUGUAGAUGUAUGUUUCAUUUCUCUUGCAUAUGUACCCUAAAGUAGAAUUGCUGCAUCAUACAGUAACUCUGUGCUCAACUUCUUGAGGAAUUGCUAAACUGUUUUCCAAAGUGGCUGUACCCUUUUACAUGCCACAUUCUCCACAUCCUUUUCAAAACCUGUUCAUCUUUUGUACUAAAGUCCUCUAGUGGGCACAAUGUGGCACCUCAUUGUGGUUUUGAUUUGCAUUUCCUUGAUGACUAGUGACACUGAGCAUCUUUUCAUGUGCUCAUUGCUCAUGUGUAUCUAUCUGAUUUGGAGAAGUGACUGUCAAAUCCUCUGCUGAUUUUUAAGUUGGGUUGUCUUUUUAUUUUUUAGUCACCAGGAUUCUUAUAUUCUAGAUGUAAGUCCCUUAUUGAUAAGUGAUUUGCAAAUAUUUUAUUCCAUUCUAUUGGGUUGUCUUUUCAUUUUCGUGAUGGUAUUCUUUGAAACACAAACAUUUUUAAUUUUGAUAAAGUCCAAUUUAUCUUUUUUUUUUUUUUUUUUGGUCACUUUUGCUUUUGGUGUCAUAUCUAAGAAACCAUCGCCUGAUGCAGAUCUUGAAAAUGUGUUCCUGUGUGUUCUUACAAGAGUUUUUUGGUUCUAGCAUUCACAUUUAGAUCUUGACCCUUCUCAGAUAGUUUUUGUUUAUGAUGUAAGGUAAGGGUCCAUAUUCACUCUUUGGCAUGUAGAUAUUCCAUUGUCCUAGCAUUGUUUAUUGAAUGUAUGAGCACCUGUGUUAAAAAUCACUUGGUGCCUGGGUGGUUCAGUGAUCCAUUGUUGGUUUUGGCUCAGGUCAUGAUCUUGUGGCUUUGUGAGGUCAAGCCCCAUGUCAGGCUCUGCGCUGGCAGCAUGAAACCUGCUUGGGAGUCUGUCUCCCUUUCUCUGCCCGUCCCCAACUCGCGCUAUCUCUGUCUCUCUCAAAGUAAACUUAAAAAAAAAUAAAAUUAAAAAUAUGUUUUAAAAAAUCACUUGACCAUAAAUGUAAAAGGUUUUCCUGGACUGUCCAUUCUGUUUUGUUGCUUACCGUUGAUUUUUAUUUUAUUAUUGUUAUUUUAAGUUUUCAUUCAUUUUUUAAUUCCAGUAUAGUUAACAUAGAGUGUUAUAUUUCAAGUGUACAAUAUAGUGAUUCAGCAAUUCUGUACAAUACUCAGUGCUCAUCAAGAUAAGUGCACUCUGAGUCUUCACCUAUUUCACCCAUUUCCCCCACCCACCUCCUCCCUGGUAACCAUCUUUUUGUUCUCUAUAGUUAAGAACCUGUUUGGGGGAUCAUCAUUGAUUUUUAAGAAAAACAAUUCAGUCACAUUUGCUUCUGUCCUCUCUGCUGCCACACGAAUCUGGGCCUUCCAUGACCUGCACUUACUCAUUAUUCAGCCUUUUUUGUGUAGAGCUGCUGGUUGAAUACUUCUGAAAGCAGUGGUUUCAUCACGUUGCUGCUGGUAGAGGGUAGCCAUUGGUGUUCCACCAAGAUCGCAUGCGAACUAAACUCCUUGGCCUGUUUCUUGAGGUUCCCUCAGCCAGGCCUACCCAAGUCUCCAUACUUAACUUCUGUUUCUAAAUUCAGAUCAUCUUCUAAUCAAUCCUGUUUCUCUUAGGUAUCACAUCUUCAUAUUUUAUGCCUUGAUUCUCCACAUUCAGUUCCCUUCCCAGUUUAAAAGAUAACACUUUCUCAGCAUAAUUAGAGACUGUAAUAACAAGUUGAGGUACCUUGAUCUCUUUCAGAUAUAGUUUCUUAGAAGAAUCACUUCUCUGUCAUUCAUUUGGCCACUUAAUGCAUGACCCAGUUCUGGUUUGUCCUGCCUCUGUUACAGUCAAGGUCCUGUACUGGGUGUUGCCUUCAGUUGUUUUGUAACUGUUUUGUUUAUAUGUAGCUUUUCUUCCUAUACAUUGUACAAACUCUUUGAGAGUGUAGGGACAUUUUAUAAUCCUUUCACAGGGCUGAAUAUGAAUGUACAUUCAGUAUGUAAGGGUCUUUGAUCUUUUAAUCAAAACCUUUGGGGACCAGAUGUAUUGGGAGAUGUUUUUAAGAUUUUAGAAAGGUUUAAGCUGCAUAUACUUUGUUACUUAACAGCCCAGUAGCACUCUGGGAUAGCCUCUGUUAUGACAUACAUUAAAAUAUUUCCUGUUACGCCUGUUCUCCAGUGGGGUGUAGGGCAGGAUCCUAUGUUUAAAGAUUGCUUUUUUCUGUAGCAAAAAGUGAGUUUCCACACUGAAUGUGAUAGAGAGACUAUAAAUAGUCUCAUAUCAGUUCAGGUCAGGUGUGAUUUUGCUGCCAAAUGAGUUACAGUGAAACAGUUUGAGUAGAGUUCGAGUUUCAGAAUUGUGGGUAAGGGAUUGUGGAGGGACGUGGGUUCUAAGUGUAAGGUGUAAUUAUAGAGCAGGGACAUGCUGUCUCCUCUAAUGUGUGGGGACCCAGGCCGGUCUGGACUUCCCUCCUUGAUUCUUCGCUGCAGCCUUUUCCUCCCACCCAUUUGUCCUUUGACCAAUUCGCUCAUGUCACUCCUCUGUCCCCAGAUCCCUGGUGUUUUGCCAUUUUUUUUGUCUCCAGUGUGCUUGUGGGAAGAAGCUACAUAUUCCUAAAGUCUCAAGAUGAUUGCAGAAAGGAUGUAAUAGUAAUUCAUUUAGUGUCAAGCUUGGGAAGCCGUCACUUUUCUUUUCCUUGCACUACCUUCUCUUCUCUGCAGUGAACACAAUGGGGGACCAGUGAUGUGGAGGGGGCACCGUGGGGGUGGCAUACAGCCAUCUGGAUGGACUCCUGGCAAGGCAGCCAGGUCUUGGCCUGGAUGAAGUUAAGCAAUCUUGGCCUGCAGAGAGGUUUCAGAUUCAUUCAAGACCUUCUGUAAUCUGGCUCCAAUCUAACUUUGUCAGAUUAAUGAGUCACCAUUGCUCAGAUUGAGAUUUUAUGUUUUUAUAUUUCUUAUUAAUUUUUUUUCUGUGUAAACUUGCCUAUUGAGCAUCCCAUGAAGAACAUAUAAUUGCUUUUCUGGCUUCAUGCAUUCCCCUCAACAUUUCUCUUUUCUUUUAAAAAAAAAUUGUUUUUUAAUCCUUAUUUAUUUUUGAGAGAGAAAGAGAGAGACAGAGACAGAGAGAGAGCAUGAGCAGGGGAGGGGCAGAGAGAGAGGGAGACACAGAAUCUGAAGCAGGCUCCAGGCUCUGAGCUGUCAGCACAGAGCCCGACGCGGGGCUUGAGCUCAUGGACCACGAGAUCGUGACCUGAGCCGAAGUUGGAUGCUUAACCGACUGAGCCACACACAGGCGCCCCUCAAACAUUUCUCUUAUGUGACAUUUCUCUUAUGUAUGUAAUUUUACAACAUCCCAGUGAUAGACUGGGCAGUGUUCUGAAACUGGAAUUGGACAUGACUUGUCUAGAAGCCCAUAGUUUUUGUUUUGUGUUGUGUUUUAAAAUAACUGCUAUUUUUUCACGUGCCUAAUGGCUGGUGACCUUGCCAAAAGGAAGCCACAUUAGAUAUGCCGUAUUUAUUUUGAGACACACAGGGUAAGAACCAGGAAUCCUCAAAUGUUGGAGCUGGAAGGAACAUUGCUAAUAUCAUGUUUUAUAGAUCAGGAAACAAAUCAGCUAAAGAUACACAGCUAGAUAGUGAUAGAAUCAGAACUCUAUUUUUCUUGAAAAUUUGCAACUUUAUGUUUCCUCUGCUUGGUUGCUUGGUGUUAGAGCUAAAAUUUUCAUUUGAUUUUUUUUUUCUCAUCUUCUAAGUAAAUUUAAUACUCUUUCCGGAUUUGGAAAACCUCUGUCUAUCUGGUUUCAACGCACAGAAGUGAAAAAAAAAAUCAUUUUGCUUCUUGGUACCACCUUGGUAAAACUAUGUCUUCACAAGAUGUGUCUAAUUAAUCAAAUUAUUAGAAAAUUGGUCUAUGAUUAGAGAUUGGAUAGCCUCAUGUAUGCUUAAUUUAACUAACAACAAACCAAUUUAAAGUGUGCUUUUGGUGUUUAAAGCUCAGUAAGGCUGUAUUCUGUUUCCCCAUAUAUAUCUCUGACUUGAAGACAAGGUCAGAUCACACCAUUUAGAACUGGUGGUGGUAAGUGCCACACUUUUUCUGUUAACCUCUGCUGUGUAUUGAAUAGGAGCAACACUGAUUAUAGAAAAUGGUGGGAAAAAAAGAAAAACCAGAUGCCAGUUUGAAUUUAUGAAAUUAGAAAUUAGGUGUCCCGUUGGAGGGGCUUAAUUGUUGGAGGAAAAAAACCCAGGGAAUUACAGAUCAUCAUUAGAACUCAGAGUUUAAGGAGCUUUGGUUCUUUUGUUGUCAAUGGAGUGCUUUAAGUUUUCAUGAAAUGGUUUUGUUGUUGUUAUUGUUGAAGAAACCAGUCACCCAAUGGGUUAAACAUUUAUAGUUCUCUAAAAUCAUGCCUGUCUCUUCUCACUGAGAAAGAGCUGGGGAGGGGACCUGUGCUCCCCAUAGGUGGGAAGUGCUCUGCCCAUUAGGUCCCAUCCAGGCAGAGUUCUCUCGGUUGGAUGUUGGAGUUUCCUAUGCUGUUCUCUCAUGAUAUAUCUUUGUUUGUGAGUGUGAAUCUAAUUUAGGUUGUUCUGUGUUUCUUUGUUGUGAAUGACCCUGAAAAAGUCCCUUCACUACUUGAAAUAAGUCCCCCCCCCCCGACUUGAAAUAAGAAGAGAUUGAACUGUGAAAAUCUCUUCAUUUUCUAAGAUCCUACCAUUUAGCUGAGUACUUUUUUUAAUCAGAUAUUUUUCAUUUAAUGUAACAAGAAGUAACAAACCAAAGAAGAAAGAAAGACAAAAACCAAAUUGCCUUCAACAACAAAGUCAUCACUUUGGCUUGGGUUUCUAGAACUGACAGUCAAGUGUUUAUGGAGGUUGUGAGGGGACAGGGAGAAUCUAGGGUAGAUUUGCUCAGUGCUACCAUUUAUUCUCACUUCUGUAUGCUCCUUAACGUUUUGGGAGAGUAUUUCUAUGUUAUUUUACAGAAGGAAACAGUCUCACACUACCUAGCCCUAGGCUGGACACGGGGGUCGUUAACUGUCCUGAGCUCCUUAGACUGUUGUCUUUAUAGUUUGGUUUGGUAUCAGGUGGCACAGAACUUCGUAUCCAGUGUAACUCUUCCUGUUCUACUCUUUCAGCUUGGAUUUACUUUUGGCAACGUGGUUGGAAUGUAUCUGGCCCAGAACUAUGACGUAAGUGACCAUAUCUGUGUCCUCCCGUAAUUUGUAGUGACUUGUCUUUGUUGAAGUCAGGCAUGCCUUCCAGCGUAAAUGAAGUCCGUAGGUCUCAGGAAAAUGUCCUGAGUUUUGUAGAAGGAUUUUCUGCUGUUUGAAAAAUACACCUCACAAAAGCAUCUGUCCUCCGUAUCACCACAAGAGGGCAAAAUCUCAUCAAUUUAGAUGGUCUUAUGAUCCUGAGCUGUGCUGGUUAGCCCAGAAUAAUUAACUACUGACUUAGAGUCUUCUUAUAUAGUUCUGUGGACGAUUAUGUGAUGAGUGGAAAUUUAAGAGUAAUUGGAUCAUCUUUUCAGUUAUAUCAGACUCAUUUUAUAGAAGGGGAAGUGGAAAAGCAGGUGACAAAACUGCCCAUACAUGGGGCCUCUGGAAAGGUUGUUUUAAAGAGAGGGAAAGGAAGGAAGAGGUGGGAAGAGGGAAGGAAGGGAAAUAUAUUAACUUUUGAUUUGUCUGUGGUGAAGCUAUUAGUGUGACAAAAGAAAUUCUUUGUCAACCUUCACUUGAGUUACAUGGUUUUCUAGGCAGGAACUUUAUUAAUUUAUAUCACCUUUAUUGUUCGUAUGCACAACUUCUAUUUGGCAGUGGAUUGAGGUGGUCAGUGAGUAUAUAAAAGGAGAAGUCAGAAUUUAGCUUCUGAGGAGGGAACAUACUUCAGUUUACAGCUUCGAGAUCCUUCUUAUGCAGCCAUGAGGCCAAGUCUCUUUCAGAGGAAAAUAAAGACUUAACAACAGCCCUUUGUUGUAGGAGGAAGAGAAGUAAAAGAGUAUCGAUUAGGUAGCUGCAAAAUUAUAAUCAUCUUUUUUCUCUUUAAAGAUACCAAAUCUGGCUAAAAAACUUGAAGAAAUUAAAAAGGACUUGGAUGCCAAGAAGAAACCCCCUAGUUCAUGAGGUGGACCCAGCACUGCUUUCCGGAUAUACCGAUUCUGCUCUUCUUGAGGCCUCCUUAUCACCUGAACCAAAAAGCUUUAGUUGUAAAUUUCAGCCUCAGCAGUCUUCCUCUCUGCUAGAUCCUAUGCUGCCUGAGAGCAACAGUUGAGGCUUCGCAUUCAGAACUACCCUUUUCCAACAUCCUCCCCCCUUCCCUUCCUCCUUCCAGCCACUUGGGACGGCCUGAGACUGGAAUUACGGUGCUUGAUUAGUAAACGUGACCUCUCCUUUAUUCUUUGGGGUUUCUAGUGUUUUCUAAAGAAAAAUUGAUGAGUUUUGUAUGGCUGAUCAGAUUUCACAGUCUAACAAUUAUAAUGGGUGUUUAAACAUUUGUUACUAAAUUAUGUUGUUUCACGGUAAUUAAAAUUAAAGUCCAGAAGC
rnacentral:lncRNA from 1 species